rnacentral:misc_RNA from 1 species
UAAAAAUCCUCUGGUGGGCCAGUGGUAAGUUUAUGGACUUACAAUGCUAAAAUCUGGGGUUCUGUUCCCCAUGGGGGAUAAAGUAUAGCUUAGUACUAAGAAAAUAACAUAUAAUUAGAAUUAAAAUUUAACGUGAUUCUGAUAGUAUGUAUUUAUUUCAAAUAUCAAGUCUUUCAAGCUAACAACUAGUGUUUAUGUUCCAUAAGUAAGGUAUACUUUAUUUUUUCUUUAGUAUUACUUUCAUUAACAGUAUUGGUUAGUGUUUAAUAUAUCCAGUUGUGUUGUUAUACCUUUAUUAUAGAGAUUGUUUUGAACUGUUAGCUCACUAUAUGGAUUUAGGCCUAACUUAAAUCUUCUAAUAUGUCUGGACCUUGUAAAAUGUUAUUGAGUUUGUGAACGAAAGAAACAUUAACAGGAAGGGAAUCCAACUGAUGAAAAAAUUCAUUCUAAUCUUUUAAGUAAGAAUGUAAGGAAAUAAAUAGUCAAAUUAUCUUUGGCAUUGUUGAGGUAAUAUUGAAACUAUAAAGGCAUUGAAAAACACAUGACUAUAAUAUGUUGUUAGACAUGCUGUGUUGCAUAACAGUAAAGCAGAAUUAUGUCUUGUCUCUACUGCCUUUCUUAGCUAUUGAUGUUAGGAAUUAAUGUAACUUUGAGACCUUUAUUAUUUCUCCCUAAUUUCAAAUACAUAUUUCAUGGAACAUUUGGGCUUCAAUGCAUGUUUAUUACAGUGUUCUACUUGAAAUGAUUAUUUAUACUAUACAUUUAUUUUUGGUUGCCAGACAUUGUCUUGUUAAAAUAACAUGAAUUAUUUAUUUUUAUAAAAUAUGUUUAAGUUAGUUUUUUACAACCUCAGAGUGUUGAUCUAAAACAGUGUGAUACUGUAUUCUUGGGGAAUAUAGCAUUUUCAAAAUUAAAGAAACUUGACCCCUGUAUUUUGGCAAAGUGUGUGAAAUCCCAUGAAUAUCAGCAAAUAAAGUGUUUUAAAGAUACAAGUUUCCAAAAGGUUAAAAUAUUGACUAUACUAAAGAAACAGUAAACUACCAUAAGAGUUUGUUACUAACCAUUGAAGAUGUAAGAGCUCAGGAUACCUACAUACUUUUAUAUUUGUUAUUUUGUCAUUAAGCUUAGGUACUAUUGACAGUAGUUCUGUAUUAUUUAUUGCAGUUGCCAGUAAAGAAUCUUCAUAUAACGUCUGAGAUGGGAGGUAGAGUAGUGAAUUGUGAAAAUGGAAUUCCUUACCCAUUAAUGAAUGUUUCAUCUACUCACACAUUUAAUCAAAACUUGGACAGAAGCAUUUCCGGUACGUACCUUCAAAAACAAGGUAUUAAUGGGAGAGGACAAGGAGCUUAUCCACUUCAAAGGUUGAUACCAGUGACUGGAGACUAUUAUCACAACAAUGCUGGGAGAGGGCGGGUAUACAGAGUUCAGGAAACCCAAGGAUUAGGAGAGGGUUAUUUUCAUUCAAGGAUGAAACAGAUUCCUGUAAUAGAUUAUGAUCAUGCAAGCUUAAGCACAGCAGAUUGUUAUAAAGGUCCAGAAACCUAUUUAGAAAAAAUGGAUCCUGGUAUUAUGAAAGUAUACAAGAAGAUUGCAUCAACAGAUGAUGGAACAUUUGGAGAACCGUACAAUAGUAUUAAUGCAUGUAUAGCAUGUGGGCUGUCAGGUGAAUUUCGCUGCUCUCGUUGUAAGACCUGGUACUGCUCAAAAAAUUGCCAAAUUGUGGACUGGCCUCUUCAUAGACUUGAUUGCAGAAAUGUUGAAGGAAAUGAUGACUCUUCAAGUGUAAAAUCAUCAGAAAGCUGUUCCAGAAGAAACUUUCAAAGUCAAACAUCUGACACAAAGGACAAAAAAAAACCCAGCACAUUCAGGAAAAGGACAGAAAUCAGAAAAUAAUUGAAAAACCACAUCAUGUUGGUGACAGAAGAAAACAAAAAAGUGGAAGGAAUCAAAGUUCUUUGAAAAGCAACAGAGAAGAUUUAUAUCACCUUAGAACAUUUGGUGCUUCAAAGCAGCAGCAGCUACCAUUGAAAAAAGGAAAUGAUAAAGAUCAAGCUAGCAGAAGUCUUGAUAGAUCUGAGGUCAACAAAGGACCAGUAUCAAGCAAAAAUUUUAAAGGUUCAUCAAUUCAGCAAAAUAAUAAAGGCAACAAACAGAAAAAUAAUAUGAGUGACAAGGAGAAUGAUAAAGCUUUCAAAAAAAAUAAUAAAAAUGACAGAGGUAAUGAUAAGGAUUCGUUGAAAAGUUGUGACUUGAGUGAAAAGGAAGACUCAGGUUUAAAAACCAAAAAGAAUUUGAAUAUUUAUUAUAAUGCAACUAAACAUAUACAAAAUAUGGAAUCAACAAGGAAGGAGGAAGCCACGGAUUCUGAAAUGCUUGCAUCUAAAGAUGGAACAUUUUUGACAGUGACUGACGUGGAGUCCAAUGGUACUUCAGAGUCUGUAUCACAGGGACAUCAUACUAAUGUCAGAGCUACUUGUAACUCAACAUCAUGUGAUGAAAGUUCUGGAAGUUCAUCACCAGCUCGUAAGGCAACUGAUAUGAUCAUGGCUACACUCAGUUUGAAUUCUUCAGAUAAGGUAAUAAUCUGUAAUGGAUUUGGGCCUAGUGAGUUUUGGGUGCAGAAGUGUGAGGAACAACAAUCUCUUAUAUCACUGACUGAAAAACUACAAGAAACAUGCACAUAUGACAAAACUUUAGAUUAUAAAAACUUCAGUCCUGCCAAAGGAGAUCUGUGUGCUGCAUUGUUUCAGGAAGAUAAAACAUGGUAUCGAGCUCGCAUUGGCAGAGUUUUGAAAAAAGGUAUUUAUUCUGUGUAUUUCCUGGAUUAUGGUAAUACAGAUUAUUGUUGCAAAAACGACUUAAAGCCUCUUCCUGCAGAAUUAGCCAAGGUACCUGCCCAAGCUAUCAAGUGUUGUUUGCCAAAUAUUGUACCAGUUGGUGAUGCUGAUACAUGGAGUGAUGAUGUUGUAACAACUUUUGCAACACUAGUGAAUGGAAACUCUUUCCACAUAGAGUUGAUUCAAAUCACCCCAAGUGGUAUAUCUGAAAUUGAAUUGAUUGAUCAGCAUGGGAACAAAGUGUCAGACCUGUUAUUGAUGGGAAAACUUGCCAUGAGAAAACCAAGUGUGACAGGACCUCCAAAGCCUGAUGCACCAGCAGUUGAAGCAAAUAUUCCUGAAGAAACCCAAGAAGCUACUGAAAUAUUACCUAGUGUUCCUUAUGGUACAGUCAUAGAAAAAUUGAAGUUAGGGCAAGUUGUACAAUUGAUUAUUACUGUGGUAGAUACCGAAAAGAAAGAAAUGUGGUUGGCAAUUGUAGAUGAAGAAGUUGUACAAGCUGUUUGUGAAGUGCAAGAGGAACUUGCAAAUGAAUACCUUGUAUCAUCAGGCGACCCAAACUACAGCCCAGUAGCUGGUGAGAUCAUUGGAACUCAGUCUCCAUCUGAUGAUGUAUGGUAUAGAGCAUAUGUGUUAUCCAUACAAAAUGGUACGUUGCUUGUAAGAUAUAUAGAUUAUGGAAAUGAAGAAACUACUACUAAGUCAGUUCCUUUAAAGCCAGAACAAAAAAAGUGCCCUAGUUUUGCUGCAAGAUGCACUGUUAGUAAUAUUUCUGAUGAUUUUACGGAUGAACAACUGAAAGAGCUUUGGAUUCCAAAUCAGGCGUUGACUGCCUCAGUUAAAAGUCUUGAAAAAGCAAAAGUGACAUUUGAGAUUACAAAUGAUAGUGGGAACUGUAUUUGCUUCUUAGAAGGUGAACCUUGGUACUAUGACAUUUUGAUAGGCCAAACUACUUUAAUUACAAAAAAUGAGACUACCUCUUCAGAAUCACUGAUUGCUAGUCAUCCAGUAAAAAAUCAGUCAAUCUGUGAAAAUCUUGGGGAGCAUUUCAAUCCAAACUUUCCUUCAGUCACCCAAGUAUCAUCCAAAGUCAUGGCAGUUUCAUCUGUUGCCAAACCUACAAUAAUAUCUCCAAAAAAUAAGUGGAUAAAACGAGAGAACAUGAAAGAACAAAUUGUGUCUGGAUGGGAUCAGUCUGAAAUUCAGGUUGUGUGGAUUGAUCCUGAAAAUUCUUUCUAUGUUCAUAAGUUCUCUGAUGCUCCACAUUUACAAAAGAUGAUGCAGAAGCUUAACCAACACUGCAAUUCGAUAUCAUUACGAAGCACCAGUAUUCCUGUGGAUGUAGUAGUUUCUGCUAAGUUUAAAGAAGAUCAACAAUGGUACAGAGCAUCUGUUACUAAAAGAAAAGAUUCUUCACAUAUUGUACAUUUUCUAGACUAUGGCAACUCGGAUGAGGUAGCUGAAAGUGAUAUUUGUGAUCUUCCAGAAGAGUUUGGUAAUGUCCCAGUUUUUUGCAUUAAAGUGAAAUUGGAUGAUGUUCCUGAUAGUGUAAUGACAGCUGAUGUGAAGUCUGCCUUAACUAGCCAGUUGUGGAUUAUGAAAAUCAAUGAUUCUAAAACUGAACCAGUAACAGUGGAACUUCUGGAUUCUGAAGGAGAAAGCUUGAAUAAACUACUUCGUUCCAUAGAAAUUGGCAGUAAUAAUAUCGAGAAAUCUCAGGAAAUUAACCUGCAGAGCAAACUUCCAGAAGCCAAUGUUUUGGAGAAAGAGACUACCGAGGAUCAGCAAAAAAUAAGUUUAGCUGCAAAAGGUGACUCGAUACCAGAACAGAAAGAACCAGUUUUCACUCAAGAAGAAAGGAAGUUCUAUUUUACUGAUUGUUCAUUUAUUGACCUGCCUGUUGGAAAAACUGUUCAGUUAGCAGUGAGCAGUGUUACCUCCCACGAUGUUAUGUUUUUCCAGCCUAUAGAAGAAGAAGUUGUAACGAAGCUCAAGGAGAUAAUGCAGAAAGUGAAUGAACACUGUGAUAGUCUGCCUGAUGAUGGUUAUGUACCAGAGACUUGUGAGAUGUGCCUUGCUAAAUUUAUUGAUGGUCUCUGGUAUCGGGCAGUUGCUUUGCGACCUGGUGAAAGUGAAGUGUAUAUUUUGUUUGCUGAUUUCGGAAACACUGAGAUGGUUGCCACAAGUAACAUUCGCUGUAUUUUUCCAGAGAUAAUGAAUUAUCCUGUGAUAGCUCAACACUGCAUGUUACAAGACUUCCCAACUGACAUGGAGUGGACUGAUGAAAAAUUGCAAGAACUAAAGAGAUUAUUACCAGAAUCUGAAGUCAUUAAUGCCACUAUUCUAGAAAAAUCCCCUGAUGGUUAUUAUAUUAUAGACAUUCCAAGUGUCCGAGAAUAUUUCAUCAAGAAAGGCCUUGACACACGAGUGCUGGAAAGACCAGAGCAAGCAAAGUUAGAACAUCUGAUCCAUGAACACCAGCAGGUUAUAGAAGCACUGCAGAAACAGCUAAAGCAGUCUUAUGGAUCCUUUGGUUCUGUAAAGUAACUACUGUAUAAUUCAGAAGCUAACAUACUAAGGAUCAGACACAACGUGAUUCUCUCUCUCUCUCUGAAACAAGAAAAGAUCUAAGAAACUACUCUAAUUGGUUGUCAUCAAGCUGAAAAUUCUUCCAGACACAGAGUUGAAAUAAGGAAUGGAAAAUAUAUGCUUCAGAAUUUUUUCAAGGUUUGAGAUG